rnacentral:rRNA from 1 species
UCCAAUUGAAGCAGAGGACAGUGGCGGACGGGUGAGUAACGCGUGAGGAACCUGCCUUUCAGAGGGGGACAACAGUUGGAAACGACUGCUAAUACCGCAUGACAUAUAGAUGUCGCAUGGCAUUUAUAUCAAAGAUUUAUCGCUGAAAGAUGGCCUCGCGUCUGAUUAGAUAGUUGGUGGGGUAACGGCCUACCAAGUCGACGAUCAGUAGCCGGACUGAGAGGUUGAACGGCCACAUUGGGACUGAGAGACGGCCCAGACUCC